rnacentral:rRNA from 1 species
GGCUAGCGUUGCUCGGAAUCACUGGGCGUAAAGGGUGCGUAGGCGGCCAACUAAGUCAGACGUGAAAUCCCUCGGCUUAACCGGGGAACUGCGUCUGAUACUGGAUGGCUUGAGUUUGGGAGAGGGACGCGGAAUUCCAGGUGUAGCGGUGAAAUGCGUAGAUAUCUGGAGGAACACCGGUGGCGAAGGCGGCGUCCUGGACCAACACUGACACUGAUGAGCGAAAGCCAGGGGAGCAAACGGG